ACAAGUGCAACAGAAAGUAUGUACAGGUAAUGCUGUAGUGAAACCAGGUAAACUCUAUGCGGUGAAAUAUCAAGUAUAUCAGCAUUUAAGGGCUUCUCGUCCGUUGUUGAAGGGUAGAUAGCUUGAACUUAUGAGUAAUUAUAAGUCUAGAUAAAUGAUAAGGCUCCGAUUUUUUCGGGGACAGAAUCCGGCUUAUAGGUCUGCAUUUUUU
rnacentral:RNase_P_RNA from 1 species